rnacentral:rRNA from 1 species
CCUACGGGGGGCUGCAGUCGAGAAUCAUUCACAAUGGGGGAAACCCUGAUGGUGCGACGCCGCGUGGGGGAAUGAAGGUCUUCGGAUUGUAAACCCCUGUCAUGUGGGAGCAAAUUAAAAAGAUAGUACCACAAGAGGAAGAGACGGCUAACUCUGUGCCAGCAGCCGCGGUAAUCCAGAGGUCUCAAGCGUUGUUCGGAAUCACUGGGCGUAAAGCGUGCGUAGGCUGUUUGGUAAGUCGUGUGUGAAAGGCGCGGGCUCAACCCGCGGACGGCACAUGAUACUGCGAGACUAGAGUAAUGGAGGGGGAACCGGAAUUCUCGGUGUAGCAGUGAAAUGCGUAGAUAUCGAGAGGAACACUCGUGGCGAAGGCGGGUUCCUGGACAUUAACUGACGCUGAGGCACGAACGCCAGGGGAGCGAAAGGGAUUAGAUACCCUAGUAGUC